rnacentral:lncRNA from 1 species
GAAGCCCUCCGCCACGUGAGGGCCCUCCAAAGAGACACCUUCGGUUACUCACAUCCUUUGCCGAUCCGCGCCGGUGGCCUGGUCAUGUUUGUCAGCUCGCCCUGGAAUGCCCCGUGUUGGCGGAGCCUUCAGCUGAGCAAACCACAAGCCACAGUGUCAACUGGCUGAGCGCCCACCAGGGCGGCAGGUUGCGCUCUUCCCGGGAAAUCACAGAAAAGGAAAUUGCUUUUUUGCAAGAGGAGGC